UGAUCAUUACUUAUACUGUUAUGUUUUGUAAAAACCUGCUAUCAUUACUAAACAACAUUAGUUAAUUGUACUUUUUAGCUGAAAUAGUAAGUGCCACUAAUCCGGUUUAGUAGAAUUAACUUGGUGUGUUUAGUUUUAUAACAAAGGGGAGGGGCCUAAUUCAAAACUUCACUGGGCGCCCCACAAGGCCUCUGCAACGGAUUCAACGCGGACUCUGCGGGAGGGAAGAAAGCAGACUGUUGCCGACAUUUUCUCAGCAGCAUUGAACGCCUUGAACGAUCCUUGUGUUGUGAAGAUGCUGUGGAAGUGAUUCUUCGAAAGCUUUACGGUGGACAGAUUCUGCAGGUUCUGCAUGGCAACAAGGGACGAGAUGCAAGCCAAAGAGAUGACUGCAAACCAGAAAAUGACCAUGAGAGUCAUUCUAACAGAGGCAGAUAUAAGGAAAGUCAUCCUACAUUCAAGGCCUUCUACAGUAAAAGACUUGAUAACCAAGCUUCGAGAGUCACUGGGACUUCAAUACAACUUCAGUCUCCAAUUCCAAGACCCUGAAUUCAAUAAUGAACUAUGUAAUCUAACAGAUCUUCAAGAACUUCCAGAAAAACCAACCAUUAAAGUCCUGCCUGUCUUUGACCUGGUGCCUGUCUCAUCUGAUGACGUCUUUAGCGACACAAGUACUGCAGAUACAGAGAUACUCUCACAUUCACCUCAGGAUCGACGUGAACCAUGGCCAGAAUUUUUGACAUUCCAACAUUUUCUGUUGAUGUGGAGUAUAGACUGAGGCAAGCAGAUUUGCUGUUUAUGAGUGAAGGAACACACCUUAAGGUCUCAAAAGAGCUGAAACAUGAGAUACUAGAGAGACUGGCAGAAAGCAUGUAUAGCUACACAGCAUACCCAACUGCUGCUCAGUUUGAAAGUGUUGCAACAGCACUGAUAAACAAACACCCCUGUCUCCAGGAGCGAGGCUCUGUCACUCGCUGUUGUGGUUGGAAAAAUAGUCUAAAGCAUAAAAUGGGAAAUUAUAGAACAAAGCGCAGGCAAUCAGGAUGCCUUGAUGUUGCAGUAAAUGCCGGUA